rnacentral:rRNA from 1 species
UACAGAGGUCUCAAGCGUUGUUCGGAUUCAUUGGGCGUAAAGGGUGCGUAGGUGGCGCGGUAAGUCGGGCGUGAAAUUUCGGAGCUUAACUCCGAAACUGCAUUCGAUACUGCCGUGCUUGAGGACUGGAGAGGAGACUGGAAUUUACGGUGUAGCAGUGAAAUGCGUAGAGAUCGUAAGGAAGACCAGUGGCGAAGGCGGGUCUCUGGACAGUUCCUGACACUGAGGCACGAAGGCCAGGGGAGCAAACGGG